AUAUUUCGGAACUGAAUCUGGUUCCUUCGAUAUCAAUGUAAUCUAAUAAUCAGUAGUGAUUUUUCUGUGUUGGUGUACAUUGAUAUCGAAGGAACUAGAUUCUGUUCCGAAAUAU